rnacentral:tRNA from 1 species
AAAGGGAGACCUAAUUCGGGUAUGGGACGAAAAAAAAGUAGUCGCUACCAAGAAUCAAUCCCAAAAGGUCGGAGCGAGGCAAGAUUGGCUUUCAAACUAGGUUCUGGGUUCACACAAGACCUGAAUCAGGAACAAGGGCUAUUAGCUCAGGUGGUUAGAGCGCACCCCUGAUAAGGGUGAGGUCCCUGGUUCGAGUCCAGGAUGGCCCACCUGCACAGGUGGAAAAAAGAAAAGAAGCUCCGAAUCAGCACCUUAUCUUACUUAUAUAGUAAGAGAGAAUGCUGGCUCUGAGUUCAGAGUCCAGAGGAACCUUGAAAACUGCAUAGAGCUAGGUGAAAAAGCCAAAAAAGAAGACCGCAAGGUCAAGCUAA